AACGAACGCUGGCGGCAUGCCUAACACAUGCAAGUCGAACGAGACCUUCGGGCCUAGUGGCGCACGGGUUCGUAACGCGUGGGAACCUGCCCUUAGGUUCGGACUAACUCCCCGAAAGGGGUGCUAAUACCGGUUAACGUUCUCGGACCAAAGAUUUUUCGCCUUUGGAUGGGCCCGCGUUGGAUUAGCUAGUUGGUAGGGUAAAAGCCUACCAAGGCGACGAUCCAUAGCUGGUCUGAGAGGAUGAUCAGCCACACUGGAACUGAGACACGGCCCAGACACCUACGGGAGGGAGCAGUGGGGAAUAGUGGACGAUGGGCGAAAGCCUGAUCCAGCAAUGCCGCGUGAGUGAUGAAGGACUUAGGGUUGUAAAGCUCUUUUAGCCGGGAUGAUAAUGACAGUACCGGGAGAAUAAGCUCCGGCUAACUCCGUG
rnacentral:rRNA from 1 species